UCCGUACAAUGGAAUAUUAUUUGACAAUAAAAGCAUUGAUGUGAGUGUGCUACAUGAGGGGCAAGUUUUUCACUAACGCUCCAUUCUGAUCCAAUGACUGGAAUCUGAUAGCAAUCCUUGCUAGAAGU
ensembl:snoRNA SNORA62 Small nucleolar RNA SNORA62/SNORA6 family